AACGUACGCUGGCGGCAGGCUUAACACAUGCAAGUCGAGCGCCCCGCAAGGGGAGCGGCAGACGGGUGAGUAACGCGUGGGAAUCUACCCAUCUCUACGGAAUAACGCAUGGAAACGUGUGCUAAUACCGUAUACGUCCUUCGGGAGAAAGAUUUAUCGGAGAUGGAUGAGCCCGCGUUGGAUUAGCUAGUUGGUGGGGUAAAGGCCUACCAAGGCGGCGAUCGGUAGCUGGUCUGAGAGGAUGAUCAGCCACACUGGGACUGAGACACGGCCCAGACUCCUACGGGAGGCAGCAGUGGGGAAUUUUGGACAAUGGGGGCAACCCUGAUCCAGCCAUGCCGCGUGAGUGAUGAAGGCCCUAGGGUUGUAAAGCUCUUUCACCGGUGAAGAUAAUGACGGUAACCGGAGAAGAAGCCCCGGCUAACUUCGUGCCAGCAGCCGCCGUAAGAC
rnacentral:rRNA from 1 species